GCUCUCGUGACGGAAUAGGUAUACGUGCUGGUUCGAGAAGCCAGAUUUUACAAGUUCAAAUCUUGUCGGGAGCA
rnacentral:tRNA from 1 species